rnacentral:piRNA from 1 species
UGAAAAGGUGUCAGCAGGUACACAUGGAGU